GUCCACUGAACCUUAUCAUUUAGAGGAAGGAGAAGUCGUAACAAGGUUUCCGUAGGUGAACCUGCGGAAGGAUCAUUGUCGAAACCUGCCCGGCAGAACGACCCGCGAACUCGUGAUCGAAUGCACCCGCGCGGGCGGAUCGUCGGGCGCUUAGGCGUCCGGCGUCGGCCCUCGCGCGUCCCGGGGGGGCGGAGACUCCGAUCUCUCCCCCUCGCGGCGAAACAACGAACCCCGGCGCGGUCCGCGCCAAGGAAAAUCGAACGAGAGAGCGCGCUCCCGCCGCCCCGGAUACGGGGCGCGGGGGGAUGCGUCGCCUUCUUUCUGUAAGAAUCCAAAACGACUCUCGGCAACGGAUAUCUCGGCUCUCGCAUCGAUGAAGAACGUAGCGAAAUGCGAUACUUGGUGUGAAUUGCAGAAUCCCGUGAACCAUCGAGUCUUUGAACGCAAGUUGCGCCCCAAGCCGUCAGGCCGAGGGCACGUCUGCCUGGGUGUCACGCACCGUUGCCCCCCCGCCCAACCCCCUCGAGGGGCGUUGGCGGGCGGGCGGAGACUGGCCUCCCGUGCUGUCCCCCCUCGCGGUUGGCCCAAAUUCGAGUCUUCGGCGGCCCCGCCGCGACGAUCGGUGGUGAGAACGUAACGUCUCGAGCUCUCGUCGCGCGCCGGUGCCCCCGCGCGUUAGGCUCGCGGACCCCUCGGGCGCCCCUCGUUCGGGCGCUCGCUUCGCGACCCCAGGUCAGGCGGGAACACCCGCUGAGUUUAAGCAUAUCAAUAAGCGGAGGA
rnacentral:rRNA from 1 species